UCUUUUGAAACACGCAUUGGGGCCUGAAAACAUGGCUCCACUGCCAUCCAUCCCUCGACGUAAUCGGGCUCAAUCGUGAUACUUGAGACGAAGGAAUGUCAAAACAUACACAAAGGAUGUUGUAUGUUUAACUUUUUCACCGGGGGUAUCGGUCUUCAUUAUACCCAGAGGAGAAACUCGGACCAGGUUAGCUACGGCUGGCCUUGUUGGAAAAAUUUCUUUUUCCACAGAAUGGUCUGAAGACCAAGUGAGAGCUGAAAUAACAGCUAUCUUCAGUGGAGCAUUUGGCUUAUCAGAGCACCAGUCACUUCCAUUUUAGUUUUUGAGCACCAUCAAGGGGUGUAAAAAACUGAUGAUACCGAAGGUCACCUCCAAUUUCCCCUGGGGUGGUAAAGAAGUUGCCUCCGUCUGUUCCAGCACAUGCCUGUAUAUCAUGGCAGAAAUGGAAGUUCCUGCACAGAACUGGUGUGUGGAGCUGUCUGAUGACAGUGAUUUUGAAAGCCCGGUUGUACAACGAAGGAGAGUGACUCGGAGAGAUGCACCGUCCAGAGCCCAGAGCGAACACUGUGAGAGGCAAGAGAGGGUGGAAGCCAGUGCUCCUCCAUCUGAUGAUGGGAUGGACCUACAGGGACAGCGAGGGCCAAAUUAAGCUAUGAAUCACUUUGCAGUGACUCAGAGACAUGCACCGUCCAGAGCCCAGAGCGAACACUGUGAGAGGCAAGAGAGGGU
ensembl:lncRNA